GUGUUUGCCUCGGCAACACAAACACAAGACUUGGAAUGAUACAGGGAUGGGUGUGGCCCCUGCGGAAGGAUGACUUGGAAAUGUGCAAAGUGCUCCAUAUUUUU
rnacentral:snRNA from 1 species